AUCAGAUCUCUAGGUUUCUCCACACCUUACAGCUUCACCCCCAAAAAAUCAGAUCUCUAGGUUUCUCCACACCUUACAGCUUCACCCCCAUAAUCAGAGCUCAAGGUUCCCCCAAACCUUACAGCUUCACCCCCAAAAAAUCAGAUCUCUAGGUUUCUCCACACCUUACAGCUUCACCCCCAAAAAAAUCACAUCUCUGAAUUUAUCUACACCUUACAGCUUCACCCCAAAAAAAUCAGAUCUCAAGGUUCCCCCAAACCUUACAGCUUCACCCCAAAAAUUAGAUCUCUAGGUUCUGCCACACCUUACAGCUUCACCCCAAAAAUCAGAUCUCUAGGUUCUGCCACACCUUAAAGCUUCACCCCCCCAUAAUCAGAGCUCUAGGUUCUGCCACACCUUACAGCUUCACCCCCACAUAAACAGAGCUCUAGGUUACCCCACAUCUUACAGCUUCACCCCCAUAAUGACAGAGCUCUGGGUUCCCCUCACACCUUACAGCUUCACCCCAAAAAAACAGAUUUCUAGGUUCCCCCACACAUUACAGCUUCACCCCCCAUAAUCACAGAGCUCUAGGUUCCCCCACACAUUACAGCUUCACCCCCAUAAUCACAGAGCUCUAGGUUCCCCCACACAUUACAGCUUCACCCCCAUAAUCACAGAGCUCUAGGUUCACCACCCAUAAUCAGAGCUCUAGGUUCCCCCACACAUUACAGCUUCACCCCCAUAAUCACAGAGCUCUAGGUUCACCCCCCAUAAUCACAGAGCUCUAGGUUCCUCCACACAUUACAGCUUCACCCCCCAUAAUCACAGAGCUCUAGGUUACCCCACACAUUACAGCUUCACCCCCAUAAUCACAGAGCUCUAGGUUCCCCCACACAUUAGAGCUGAUUUCUCUUCUUGACCUUUAUUUACUAGUCUGUCAUACAGAGUGUCCUCCUUUCCAUGUCAUUCACUCCCAGUUUAUUCUGUUUGUCCAUCUAAUUAUAUAAAUAUAUAUUUUUGUAUCCUGCACAGUAUUAUGUUACAAUGUGUCUGGCCUCUCCACCUUCUGAUCUCAGACUGUUAAUCUUAGAUUUAUUUUCUGAC